GAAGUAUAAGAUUUAAGGAAAAGCUUCUAACUUUUACCUUUAGCGGCGAAUCUCCGUUAAUAUUUCU
rnacentral:tRNA from 1 species